rnacentral:tRNA from 1 species
GAGGAUAUAGCUCAGUGGUACAGUGUGUGCUUUGUAUGCAUAAGGUCCUGGGUUCAAUCCCCAGUACCUCCA